rnacentral:rRNA from 1 species
GGGGAAUUUUGGACAAUGGGGGGAACCCUGAUCCAGCCAUGCCGCGUGUGUGAAGAAGGCCUUAUGGUUGUAAAGCACUUUAAGCGAGGAGGAGGCCCUUUGUGUUAAUACCCAAGAUGAGUGGACGUUACUCGCAGAAUAAGCCCCGGCCAACUUCGUGCCAGCAGCCGCGGUAAUACGAAGGGUGCAAGCGUUACUCGGAAUUACUGGGCGUAAAGCGUGCGUAGGUGGUGGUUUAAGUCCGUUGUAAAGCCCUGGGCUCAACCUGGGAACUGCAGUGGAUACUGGAUCACUAGAGUGUGGCAGAGGGUAGUGGAAUUCCCGGUGUAGCAGUGAAAUGCGUAGAGAUCGGGAGGAACAUCAGUGGCGAAGGCGACUGCCUGGGCCAACACUGACACUGAGGCACGAAAGCGUGGGGAGCAAACA